GUCGAUGAUUAUAAGGGGGAAAAAAGAAAUUGAUAUGCUUUAAAGAAAACAUCCCAUCCUCCUGUCUCUCGGGAAUAAAAAGCAUCUGCUUCUUCAUAUAUAGCAGAGGUUGGUUCCGCAGACGCAGCCACCACUGGGAGGAAUCGUUGAUCGUCUGGUGGCUACAAGGUGAGACAACUGGGUUACCAAUUUUUGUGUGUUGCAACAUCUCCCACAUUCCAGAUACAGGUGACAUGCCUAGCUGAAUUGUGAAUUUGUUUCUAUCUGUAUUUUGUCUGUGAACUCGUCCAACACUAUAUGUGAACACUAUAUGUGUAUGUUUCAGGUUGUAGACAAUUUGAGUUUGAAUGCAGUUUCAGAUUUUGUUGGGGUUAAUAACUGCAGUGCAGUAUGUUAGUUUCUAGAGAAUUAUGUUUCUGUGUUUUAGUGAGCUCUGUGUAUUUUUUUGUCAUGUCUUUCCGGAGAAUAAGUUUGAGGCGGAUCAGAAUUCCGACAGAGCUUGUACUCUGUGCUUAUGGACAUGUGUAAGCAGAUGGAGAUCGAUUGCCACUCUGGAGAAACCAUUGAUCUGCCUCCUCACCAACCUGUUUACUGCCCCAAGUAUGGGAAAUUUUCUAUUUUGUCUUAUGGGCGACAUGAGCUACACGCUGCACCACCAUGAAGUUGUUGGAAAGCACCUCUCCAUUGUUCAGAGAUGACUGAUGAGCAAAUGAUAGCAUUUAUUGUACACCGUGUCACAGCAUCAGCUGUUUUUCUGACAGCUUUCCCAUCGCUCCCGAGGAAGUAUGUUAAGGCUCUGCUCCAUACCUGGGCUAGAGGACGAGGUGCAAUGCCUCUUGUUUCUUUUAUGUUCCUUCGAGACUUGUCAUUCAAGUAGGUUCAAAUUGCCUUGAUACUUGCCUCAAGGGUAUCUAUAAGGCUUAUUUGGUGAACUGCAAACUGUCCAAAUCUAUAAGCGGAUCAAAACAACAACACAUUCAAUUCCUUGGAAAUUUGUGUCAGAGAAUUGUAUAGUCUGGAUCCACAAAGUGCGUAUCAGCAUGCUUUUAUUUUCAUCCAUCAACUGGGGGUUAUCCUAAGAGGAGCUCUUACUGAAAGGGGGCCAAAGUUAGUGAAGGACAAAAGGCAGAAAGAAAGUAGCAAAUCAUCGAAAAAACAAGUGAGAAAUCUUACCAAAAAAAUUAUGAUUGGCAACACAUUCUGCCUUGAGCUUUGGACCAGUGUUGUGUGCGGAUGUAGUUCCGAGGAAGAAUUAUGACCUCUAGCUUAUCCGUUGACACAAAUAAUAAUACAUGGUGUGGCAUGCCUUGUACCUAGCGCGCGUUACUUCCCUGUGCGCUUUAGGUGUGUUAGAAUGCUUAAUUGUAUUGCUGAAGCCGCUGGUACCUUCAUUCCCAUGUGCUCCUUGCUGCUUGAUAUGCUUGAAAUAAAAGAACUUAGAU